CUCCCAGAGUGCUGGGUUUAUAGGUGUGAGCCACCCUGCCCAGCCAGGUAUUUCCUAUUGUUCUGUCUUGAGGUUCAUGGAUUCUUUCCUCUGUUCCCACCAUUCUGCUAUUGAGCCCAUAUGUGAAGUUUAUUUUGAUCAUUCUGUUUUUUUGUUCUAAAAUUUUCGUUUGAUUCCAUGGGUGCAGUCUUUUGCUCCCCUAUCAGCCACAUGAGAAUAGGCCUUGAGCCUGGAACACUUCCUUACCAAGGGAUGGAGAGUUCUCACAGCCUGUACUAGACUUGUUACCUUGUGUGGGAAUAUCUGUCUUUGUUUCAGACUCAAUGUGUGCUCCUUUGUUCUGCUUAAAUAUAUGUGUCACGUGGCAUCUGGGCCACACCACUAGUAUAUCUGUCCACUGCAGGGAGAGGAUGAGAUCUUUCUGCUGCAGCACAAGAGGAGUGUGUUGGCUGUUGGAGGGACCUGUUGGCCAGGGAGAACUAAUGUCCACUACUGAAGCCGAUCUUGCUGUGUGUCUUCUCUAUCUGGAUAGUCUCUAUGACAGUGAUGAGAGAACUGAAGCUCAAAUUAGACUAACUUGUUGAAGUCUGCCUAGCUAUCAAGUGGUAAAGGUAGGAUCUGAACCUAGAGCUGUAUGAUUCCACAAUUCAUGCUCCUUUGGCUGCACUACUCUGCCUUCCGGUGGGGUUUUCAGAUUCACUUUUCAUGGAAAUUUAUUAUAAAAUCAUUUAUUGUAUGUCCCUAUUUCUCUCUCCAGUGAAAUAUGUAAACCUUAUAGGCUCUAUAUCUAUUUUACAUACAUUUGACAGAUAACACACUAUGUAACAUGUGUAUGAUGUAAGGACUUAUGUUACCAUAUGAAAUUUGUCCCAUGCUUGAUGAUAGAUCCUUGUAGUUGUAAUAGACAUAGAGCACUGGCCUAGAGGAUAGGUAAUGUUCUCAAGGUCGCACAGCCUGUGUAGAGCAAGGAUUCGAAUCCAGGUCUGCCUCACUCCAACUCCCACCCAUUGCAUCCACUCCUUGCUGUUCUGCUAUUACAUAGUAAUAGCGGGAAGAAAAGUGUUGAGGUGUGGAGAGUGGGUAGCCUUUUUUUUCUGAGACGGAGUCUCGCUCUGUCACCCAGGCUGGAGUGCAGUGGCGCGAUCUCGGCUCACUGCA
rnacentral:lncRNA from 1 species